UUCUUGAGUAUACAUUUUUGAUUUUUAUUAUCUUCUCUUUCUUGAUGGACCCACAUGUCAUCUUCUUUUUCUUGAUAUCCACGUAGAGCCUGUUACUUCUUCAAGUAACCACUACCUAUUUAUUUUAUUCAAUUUUUUAUCUUAUUGGUCUACUAUUUUUUGGUAUCGGCAUUCGCUCCAACGACCGCCGCUACUUUCGGCGGCCCGCACAAAUUGACAGACAUCGUUUUGACCUAUUCUCCUGCCAAUAUAUUUUCCUACUUUUCGCUUGCAGCUAGCCCAGACAGACAGCGGCGUUAUAUUCCGACCUACGUACGUACAUACAUACGUCCUUGUCCACAGCUGGGUUGACGGCAUCUACUUGCUAGCUUAUUACUACUAUCGUCGUCCCCGUC
rnacentral:lncRNA from 1 species